CAGGGAGCUGGUUCCAGGAAAGAAGGGCACAUGAGCAAACAUGAUGGCCCCUUUAUGAGAGGUAAUUUACUGAAAUGCACAGCGAUUACCUGCUCAGCCAGCCCUGGUGUAAUUAAAAAUGGCAGGCUGGGGGCUCUGUUUCCCCCGGCACUGGCAGAGAAGCCUGGGUUUCGACUUGUGAAGCUUGAGGUUGGAUGUGGGAAUUGGCUUGGAGUCAUAGGCGAUGAGAGGGACAUUAGGAUAUUAUCAAGCCCGUGAACCCAACUCCCGAGAAGGACACAGCAGAGCGAGAGAAAAUUUGGAAUAAAAAGGACUACCUCACUGGGCUCAUGUGGGUGAGGAGAACUGAAGAGUCUGAGAGCACCAGCAUGGUGCUUGGCACGAGCCAGAGGCUACAGAAAACACUGCCCUCCCACACUCCACCUUGGAGAGACUCAGAAAAGAACAAGCUUCGUUUGAAAAAAAGGAAAGCAGCUCAGGCAAUGGGGUGGCUUAGAGGCACUCUCCUGUGUGCAGACGCCUUCCACUUCUUCCAUCUGCUCUGUCUCUCCAAGAACCCCUAUGGCCCUCGGCUCAGAGCAGAGCUGAGUGCAGAAAUGAAAAUCUGUGGCCCUGUGUUCCAAAACGAUGAAGAAUUUCAAGAUGCUGGCAGUGGCAAAAUCCUUCUCCAGGAAAAUUCUUUCCUUGGCCCAAUGUGUAAACACUUGCUGAGUAUUGUGAAACCAGCAACUUGUUCACAAUUCUUCUGAAUUUCUCGGGAAAUUUGAAGUGGAGUACCUGUACCAACAUGAAAUGAUACGAAUUUAAGUGAAGCUCAACAACAAAAAGCAAAAAGAACCAAAGAGGAAGCAACUGAAACAACAUCUGGAUGUAUUUAAAAAUACACAGUGCCUCUAAAAUCAGGUGUCAUUAAUGAAAAUUCUCAAGAAAUGCCACCGGACAUAGCCAAUGCACCCAUACUAUUGUUAUUCAUUUCCUGCUUUUUACAGAAAACAAUUUAGUUGCAUGGAAGAUUGUGAACUUCAAAGGACAGAGGGGAAACUCUCCCUUGGCUCCUACCCCUCCAAGUUCCCACUUUUCCGACAACACUCCUUGGACACAGCUGAGGUACGAACAUAAUAUGGUCCUGAAUGAGGCUGAGUUUUGGGUGCAGAAGACCUGGGUUAAUAAAAAUAGGAAGGUAAGAAAAGAAAAGAAAAAUCAAGCCACAUCAUAGGACUAGCUUCCUAUUAUUUAUCCACUCAGGAUUGACCACCCCUGUGGGCCAGACAGUUGUACCCCCAUGUACCAGUUGGGUAUACGAAGACACGAGAAGCGCUGUGAUGGUUCAUCUUGCAUGUCAACUUGCGUGGAGUAUGCUGACUCAUUGUUUUGUCCAACACUGAUCUGGACAUGGUGGUAUAGGUAUUUUUUAGAUGAGAUUAACGCUUACAUCAGUAAAGCAGGUUACCCUCCAUACUGUGGGUGGGCCUUGUCCAAUCAGUUGAAGGCAUUAAGAGCAAAGAUUGAGGUUUCCUAAAGAAGGUGGAAUUCUCCUUGAGACUACAACAUAGCAACCCUGUCUGAGUUUCCAGCCUGUUGCCUUGUGGAAUUUGAACUCAGGACUCCAGUCUAUGGCAUUAACCCUCACUUAAAUUUUCAGCCUGCCAGCCUGCCCUGUGGAUUUCAGACUUGCCAGCCACACAAUUCCUUAAAAUAAAUCUCUCUGUCUCUGUC